rnacentral:RNase_P_RNA from 1 species
AGGAUAAGUCGGGUAAUCGCUUUGCUUUUUUUGCAAAGAGGAAAGUCCGGACACUCACCAUUUAUUUGGUAGCAGGAUAGCGGGUAACGCCCGUCUAAGCCAUAUCUUUUGAUGUGGUGACGAGGUGCGAGCAGAGACGCUUUAUUUUGAGAAAAAUAAAGCACCUCAUUUUUUUGAGGUGAGCUCUAAUAGCAAUAUUAGAGGUGAAACGGCUAAAUCCUUAUCUGAGUGCAAGACCGUGCUUCGCAUUUUUAAUGUCGAAGAGUUGUCGCUUGACCAUAUUGGCAACAAUAUGGCUAGAUAAAUGAUUGCCCAUUGAAUUUUUUCAAUGACAGAAUCCGGCUUAUAGGGUUAUCCUAAUA